GUGCUCGCUUCAGCAGCACGUAUACUAAAACUGGAACGUUACAGAGAAGAUUAGCAUGGCCCCUGUGCAAGGAUGACACGCAAAUUCGUGAAGCAUUCCAUAUAAAA
rnacentral:snRNA from 1 species